GACACGUCAGAGAAGAAGAAUGCAUUGCCUUAAAUAUCCAAAUGUGUCUCCUCUUUACUGUGUCGCAGUUUCGUAAAUUCACCAAGACGUCGCCGUGGACUUAUUGAGUCUGUUGAGCUGAUUGGAGAGCUAGCUUCCGCAGCUAGGGGGUCCAUGACCAUGACUUCUGUUUCGUUUGAUCAGUCGCAUUAUAGACACCGUUUGGAAACAAUUAAGGUCUCGGUGCCUCUCCAGGUUGUCAGAGGACACGUCAGGACUUAAUGCUUUCCAAUCUUCUCCCCAACACACACUGUCGCCUCUCAUUUACGGAGCCGCUGACAAGGAUGGCCGCCGUCUCCACGCCUUCAUGCCGCCCACUCCUCCCUGCCUCUGCUGUGCUCACAAGUCAUUAGUCCACCUUCGCUCUACCACCUGAGCCAUUAGCCGGACUCCUCACGUCACCCCAGGCAAGUGAUCGAGUGAAGACCUUCGACCUGACUGGUGUAUGUGGGUGUGGUACAUUGGUAUGUGCCCCUGACCGUGCUAAUAUGUAUGUACAUUGGUAUGUGCCCCAGACCGUGCUAAUAUGUAUGUGCAUUGGUAUGUGCCCCAGACCAUGCUAAUAUGUAUGUACAUUGGUAUGUGCCCCAGACCGUGCUAAUAUGUAUGUGCAUUGGUAUGUGCCCCAGACCGUGCUAAAGAUGCUCGUACACAAAGUAACCAUUCACCUUCAAAUCACGAUUCUUAUCCAACCCGAUUCUAAGAAAAUGUUUUUAUAUAAGUAGUAACUCAAAUAUAAUGUUGAAACAACAUGCUUUUUGACGACGUUUAAUCAAUGUUGGGUUCUAAUGUUGAUUUCACAUUGAAUUUUGGUCAUUUUCCAACCAAUCUAUAACAACACAAAUACAACGUUGAAACAACAUACUUUUUGACAACGUUUAAUCAAUGUUGGGUUCUGACGUUGAUUUGACCAUUGGAAUUUGGUCAUUUUUCCAACCAUUAUUCUACAACACAAAUACAGCGUUGAAAUAACAUGCUUUCUGACAAUGUUGAUUUGACCAUUGAAUUUUGGUCAUUCCCCAACCAAUAUUCUACAACACAAAUACAACAUUGAAGCAGCAUGCUUUUUGAUGACUAUUAAUCAACGUUGGGUUCUGACGUUGAUUUGACCGUUGAAAUUUGUUUUUAUCCCAACCAAUAUUCUACAACACAAAUACAACGUUGAAACAACAUGCUUUUUGAAGACAUUAAUUUAAUGUUGUUUUUUUUUUAUGUUGAUUUGACCAUUGAA